rnacentral:RNase_P_RNA from 16 species
GAAGUGGGCCAGACCGCCGCUGGCACACCGGCCGAAAGGCCGUGCUGGAGGAAGGUCCGGACUGCACAGGGCAGCGCAGCAGCCAACGGCUGUCCACCGCAAGGUGAGGAUCAGAGCAACAGAGACGAGUCCGGGCGGCGUAGCCGUCCGGGGUGAAACGGGCAAUCUCUGCGCGCAGCAACACCAAAUAGGCCAGCGUCGAUGUGGCUCCGCGGAGCUGGCGGGUAGGUGGCACCGAGCCGUUCCCGCGAGGGGCGGCCCAGAGGAAUGGCGGUCACGGCCGCGACGCCGCAAGGCGCCGCGGCCGCACAGAAUCCGGCCUAUCGGCCCGCUUCACAC